UUUCCGUAGGUGAACCUGCGGAAGGAUCAUUACAGUAGUCACCCAGGUUGCCGCAAGGCCUCCUGGGUAACCUGCCACCCUUUGUUUAUUACACUUUGUUGCUUUGGCAAGCCUGCCCUCGGGCUGCUGGCUCCGGCCGGCGAGCGCUUGCCAGAGGACCUAAACUCUGUUUGUCUAUACUGUCUGAGUACUAUAUAAUAGUUAAAACUUUCAACAACGGAUCUCUUGGUUCUGACAUCGAUGAAGAACGCAGC
rnacentral:misc_RNA from 1 species